rnacentral:piRNA from 1 species
CCAGCUAAGAACUCCGCUUAUUGACACU